AUUGAACGCUGGCGGCAUGCUUUACACAUGCAAGUCGAACGGUAACAGGCCGCAAGGUGCUGACGAGUGGCGAACGGGUGAGUAAUGCAUCGGAACGUGCCCAGUCGUGGGGGAUAGCCCGGCGAAAGCCGGAUUAAUACCGCAUACGACCUGAGGGUGAAAGGGGGGGAUCGCAAGACCUCUCGCUAUUGGAGCGGCCGAUGUCAGAUUAGCUAGUUGGUGGGGUAAAGGCCUACCAAGGCAACGAUCUGUAGUUGGUCUGAGAGGACGACCAGCCACACUGGGACUGAGACACGGCCCAGACUCCUACGGGAGGCAGCAGUGGGGAAUUUUGGACAAUGGGCGCAAGCCUGAUCCAGCAAUGCCGCGUGCAGGAAGAAGGCCUUCGGGUUGUAAACUGCUUUUGUCAGGGAAGAAAUCUUCUGGGUUAAUACCUCGGGAGGAUGACGGUACCUGAAGAAUAAGCACCGGCUAACUACGUGCCAGCCGCCGCAGUAAAAC
rnacentral:rRNA from 1 species